rnacentral:rRNA from 1 species
AAAUUGAAGAGUUUGAUCAUGGCUCAGAUUGAACGCUGGCGGCAGGCCUAACACAUGCAAGUCGAGCGGUAGCACAGAGAGCUUGCUCUCGGGUGACGAGCGGCGGACGGGUGAGUAAUGUCUGGGAAACUGCCUGAUGGAGGGGGAUAACUACUGGAAACGGUAGCUAAUACCGCAUAACGUCGCAAGACCAAAGUGGGGGACCUUCGGGCCUCAUGCCAUCAGAUGUGCCCAGAUGGGAUUAGCUAGUAGGUGGGGUAACGGCUCACCUAGGCGACGAUCCCUAGCUGGUCUGAGAGGAUGACCAGCCACACUGGAACUGAGACACGGUCCAGACUCCUACGGGAGGCAGCAGUGGGGAAUAUUGCACAAUGGGCGCAAGCCUGAUGCAGCCAUGCCGCGUGUGUGAAGAAGGCCUUCGGGUUGUAAAGCACUUUCAGCGGGGAGGAAGAAA